rnacentral:rRNA from 1 species
CCUACGGGAGGCAGCAGUGGGGAAUUUUGGACAAUGGGCGCAAGCCUGAUCCAGCAAUGCCGCGUGCAGGAUGAAGGCCUUCGGGUUGUAAACUGCUUUUGUACGGAGCGAAACGGUCUACUCUAAUACAGUGGGCUAAUGACGGUACCGUAAGAAUAAGCACCGGCUAACUACGUGCCAGCAGCCGCGGUAAUACGUAGGGUGCGAGCGUUAAUCGGAAUUACUGGGCGUAAAGCGUGCGCAGGCGGUUAUAUAAGACAGAUGUGAAAUCCCCGGGCUCAACCUGGGACCUGCAUUUGUGACUGUAUAGCUAGAGUGCGGCAGAGGGGGAUGGAAUUCCGCGUGUAGCAGUGAAAUGCGUAGAUAUGCGGAGGAACACCGAUGGCGAAGGCAAUCCCCUGGGCCUGCACUGACGCUCAUGCACGAAGACGGUGGGGAGGACGAAACGAAGGAGUAGUAUACCCGUACGGUACGUACCGACCGACCCGUAAACCGUACUAGUCUACUAGGUUGGUUGGGUUCGUUC